AGAUUACUGAAUUAAAGGCCAAACAGUCUACUUCUGACAAAGAAGCACGAACAAGAGUACAGACUCUCCAAAAGAAAAAUAAUGAACAAGUUCAGGAAUUGCAGACCAAGCUAAGGUUCUUCCAAAAGCAAGUGGUCACCCUUACAAAGGCAAACAAGAAAGGGAACACUGAUAGCCCGCAGACAUCCUGAUGAGAACUGGAAUUAAAAGAAGUUGAAAUAAAUUUAUUGGAAUAAUAAACCACUUUCUUUAAUGGUACCUUUGUACAACUUCAGUUGUGCAUGUUUUAGUUAUCUCACGAGGAAAAAGUUAAUUAUGGUACGACUUUCAUGUUAAGACCAUCUGUAUGUGAGAAUAUAUACAGUCCUGGGUUAUUGGAAAAACAUACUUUUAGAUAUUUGUAAAGUUGUGGAAGAAACAAUGUCCUGAUAAAGAUCAUCAUCAGAUUUUAGUAUGAUAGGUAGAUUUAACUGUGUUACCUCUGGAUAUUCAAGUGUUUAUGAUGACGUUCGUUAUUAUGGCCUAAUACUCUCACAACUAUGAUUAUUUUAACUGUAAUUUUUUAACAUCUCAUUAAUAUUGUAAAUCAUCUUAAGAAAUGUUUUUAUUAGCUAGCAUUUUACUUUCUUUUUAUAUAACUUGAAGAUUAGAAAAAUUCAUGUAAAUACAUGUUUAAAUUCAUCCUAAGUUUUAUAUUUAACAAGUAUAUCUAAUUUUCUUGACUAUAUUAAAAAACAAAACAUUUUAAUCAAUUUUACCACAGUUCUUUAUUAACAAGUUUUUAAUGAGAGAAGCUGUAGAAGAAAGUGGUUUUAGUAGUAAUAAAGAAAACACAUUUCUUGGAAUAUUUACUAUGGAUCAGACAAAAUAUCCUCCUGGUUACUUGAAUUAUUUCUGCAUGAUUCAAUUGUUACGAGUUCUUUCAUGGAAUGUUUUAAUGAUCUUCAAAUAUUUUUCAUUUUUAACCAUUCUGUUGAUAUUUUAGACAACGUCUUUUGUAAGUCAGACACAUUUCUUAGUGUAAACUGUCAUUUUUCACACUGAAUGUUAUUCUCCCUAUUGAUACUUUUCAAGAUUUUGAAUUAAUUAUGAAAAAAUGAAAUAUCCAUCAAGUUUUCCUCCCCUAGUAUUUGUCUUGUGAGCAUUACUUUAUUAAAUACUGGGAAAAAAACAUUCAUGAAAUUUUGUUAAACAAUAAGGUGUCAUUUUAUGUUCAGAAGGGAACUUAUAUGGAGAGCCAGAUGUUUUAAUUUGCUAAAUAUAAUUGUUGUGCAUAAUCAUGAUUAUAUGAGAAAUUGGUUAUUUUCAGUUAUAACAAAACACCCUUUACGAUCCAUUCAGUGCAGUAACAGAAAUGAAAAUUAUCCCUUUCUUUUCACAUGUAUUAACUGAUCCAGAUAUUGUUGACACUAUACCGCCCAUGAUGGGCUAAUGAGUUAGGCGUGUCACCACAGAUUCGAGAUCAUACUAUCAUGGUAGUAGUUGCAGAAUCCCACAGCCAGAAAAACCAAGAAAACAUUCAAUAAUAAUAAUA